CCUACGGGAGGCAGCAGUGGGGAAUAUUGGACAAUGGGCGAAAGCCUGAUCCAGCCAUGCCGCGUGUGUGAAGAAGGUCUUCGGAUUGUAAAGCACUUUAAGUUGGGAGGAAGGGCAGUAAGUUAAUACCUUGCUGUUUUGACGUUACCAACAGAAUAAGCACCGGCUAACUCCGUGCCAGCAGCCGCGGUAAU
rnacentral:rRNA from 1 species